rnacentral:lncRNA from 1 species
CAUUUCUGAAGCCUAGAGAAUGUGCCAUUAGCCUUGUCUAAAUCUAUAUUCUCUCUCCUUUCUAUCAUUGCAAUUUCAUUGUCCAGAACAGAGCUUGGCAGAGGGCUAAAUAGGAAGGCUAAAUGUAUUUCCUAGAAGCUGUAUGUUAAUAACAGUUUUAACCUUGAGUAAUGCUCAUAAGAAAUAGAAAGUGACAUUAGAACUUGAAAAAACUUAAGUUACUCUAUUGGAUAGCAGGAUUAGAUAUCCUCUAAAUUCAUGUAAUCUGAGAAGUAAUCAUAAAUUGGAGAAAUAAAAUCAACCAUUUCUUAUAUUUCCUUGAGCUUUAUAAAUGUCAUUAGUUUUUCCUAAGAUAUUGUCUUCUAUUGUUACAUAGCACUAGCGAUAUAGAAAUUACAACCAAUGAAGGGAACACUGGUAGGAACACAGGAAUGAAAAAUGUUGGAAUAAUUUCCAUCACAUAAAGGGUUGGUAUUAAUAUAGGUUGGAAUCGGGGCAGGGGAUGGGGGAUAACUGCACAUUUUGAUUUGGGGUUCCUCUUUGAAGUUCCAUUUUACCAGAAAUAAUUUUCUUUCUGCCUACAUCCAUGUGAUAGCAUAAUCAUCCUCUUAUCUGGUCUGGAAUCACCAUCAAUAGGAAUAAACUUCUGAGUUACUUAG